UACAGAGGUGGCAAGCGUUGUUCGGAAUUACUGGGCGUAAAGGGCGCGUAGGCGGCCUUGUAAGUCCUGUGUGAAAUCCCCCGGCUCAACUGGGGAACUGCACAGGAGACUGCUUGGCUUGAGUUCGGGAGAGGGAAGCGGAAUUCCGGGUGUAGCGGUGAAAUGCGUAGAUAUCCGGAGGAACACCGGUGGCGAAGGCAAUCCCCUGGACCUGUACUGACGCUCAUGCACGAAAGCGUGGGGAGCAAACAGG
rnacentral:rRNA from 1 species